rnacentral:rRNA from 1 species
GACGUAGGGGGCAAGCGUUGUUCGGAAUUACUGGGCGUAAAGGGCGCGUAGGCGGCCAUCUAAGUCAGACGUGAAAUCCCCCGGCUUAACCUGGGAACUGCGUCUGAUACUGGACGGCUUGAGUAUGGGAGAGGGAUGUAGAAUUCCAGGUGUAGCGGUGAAAUGCGUAGAUAUCUGGAGGAAUACCGGUGGCGAAGGCGGCAUCCUGGACCAUUACUGACGCUGAGGCGCGAAAGCUAGGGGAGCAAACGGG